rnacentral:rRNA from 1 species
GUGGGGAAUAUUGGGCAAUGGGUGAAACCCUGACCCAGCGACGCCGCGUGAGGGAAGACGGCCUUCGGGUUGUAAACCUCUUUUGUACGGGAAGAAGGAAGUGACGGUACUGUACGAAUAAGUCCCGGCUAACUACGUGCCAGCAGCCGCGGUAAUACGUAGGGGACGAGCGUUGUCCGGAAUUACUGGGCGUAAAGGGCGCGCAGGCUGUGCUGCAAGUCAGCUGUGAAAUGUCUGGGCUUAACCCGGGCAUGCAGUUGAGACUGGAGUGCUGGAGUGCUGUAGAGGCAAGGGGAAUUCCCAGUGUAGCGGUGAAAUGCGUAGAUAUUGGGAAGAACACCGGUGGCGAAGGCGACUUGCUGGGCAGCAACUGACGCUGAGGCGCGAAAGCCAGGGGAGCAAACGGGAUUAGAAACCCUAGUAGUCC